UACGUAGGUGGCAAGCGUUGUCCGGAUUUACUGGGCGUAAAGGAUGCGUAGGCGGAUAUUUAAGUGAGAUGUGAAAUCCCUAAGCUUAACUUAGGAGCUGCAUUUCAAACUGGAUAUCUAGAGUGCGGGAGAGGAGAAUGGAAUUCCUAGUGUAGCGGUGAAAUGCGUAGAGAUUAGGAAGAACACCAGUGGCGAAGGCGAUUCUCUGGACCGUAACUGACGCUGAGGCAUGAAAGCGUGGGUAGCAAACAGG
rnacentral:rRNA from 1 species